GGGGGCGACAGGUUUCGACGGCGUGUUGGAGGGUCUGGAGGAGCAGGUCGAGUUACGCCCGUAAUCCUCGAUAAACAUUCGGGCAAGACGAUAAACGUCGACAAUAAUUACGCUUUAGCGGCUUAGUUCCGCUACGUCGAAGGAUGGGCCCGCUGCCGGUUCACCGGAGACGUCACUUAAGGCAGAUGCUCUGCUCGCUGUCCGGCUCCGCACGAGUGGAAAAGACAAGGGGUCUCGGAACACGGGAGGUCGUUCUCUGCCGACCUGUGGACGACAAUUAAGCGAGAACUAAACCUGUAGCGCCGCCACGGCUGGCCCACGUCGGACGGGGGUUCGAUUCCCCCCGCCUCCACCA
rnacentral:tmRNA from 1 species